AUUGAACGCUGGCGGCAUGCCUUACACAUGCAAGUCGAACGGCAGCACGGGAGCAAUCCUGGUGGCGAGUGGCGAACGGGUGAGUAAUAUAUCGGAACGUGCCCGGUCGUGGGGAUAACGUAGCGAAAGCUACGCUAAUACCGCAUACGAUCUACGGAUGAAAGCGGGGGAUCGCAAGACCUCGCGCGAUUGGAGCGGCCGAUAUCAGAUUAGGUAGUUGGUGAGGUAAAGGCUCACCAAGCCGACGAUCUGUAGCUGGUCUGAGAGGACGACCAGCCACACUGGGACUGAGACACGGCCCAGACUCCUACGGGAGGCAGCAGUGGGGAAUCUUGCGCAAUGGGCGAAAGCCUGACGCAGCCAUGCCGCGUGAAUGAUGAAGGUCUUAGGAUUGUAAAUUCUUUCACCGGGACGAUAAUGACGGUA
rnacentral:rRNA from 1 species